rnacentral:rRNA from 1 species
GGGCCCGCACAAGCGGCGGAGCAUGCGGAUUAAUUCGAUGCAACGCGAAGAACCUUACCAAGGCUUGACAUAUAGAGGAAAAGUGCAGAAAUGCACUCCCCGCAAGGUCUCUAUACAGGUGGUGCAUGGUUGUCGUCAGCUCGUGUCGUGAGAUGUUGGGUUAAGUCCCGCAACGAGCGCAACCCUCGUCCUAUGUUGCCAGCACGUAAUGGUGGGAACUCAUGGGAUACUGCCGGGGUCAACUCGGAGGAAGGUGGGGAUGACGUCAAAUCAUCAUGCCCCUUAUGUCUUGGGCUUCACGCAUGCUACAAUGGCCGGUACAGAGGGCUGCAAUACCGCAAGGUGGAGCGAAUCCCAAAAAGCCGGUCUCAGUUCGGAUUGUUGUCUGCAACUCGACAACAUG